rnacentral:rRNA from 1 species
AUACGUAGGGGGCGAGCGUUAUCCGGAAUCAUUGGGCGUAAAGGGCGCGUAGGCGGCCCGGUAAGUCUGGAGUGAAAGUCAUGUUUUUAAGAUGGGAAUUGCUUUGGAUACUGUCGGGCUAGCGUGCAGGCGAGGUAGUUGGAAUUCCCAGUGUAGCGGUGAAAUGCGUAGAGAUUAGGAGGAAUAUCAGUGGCGAAGGCGACUUACUGGACUGUAACUGACGCUGAGGCGCGAAAGUGGGGGGAGCAAACAGGAUUAGAUUCCCUGGUAGUCCACACUGUAAACGAUGAAUGCUAGGUGUAGGGGGUAUCGACCCCUUCUGUGCCGCAGUCAACACAAUAAGCAUUCCGCCUGGGGAGUACGGCCGCAAGGUUGAAACUUAAAGGAAUUGACGGGG